GCAAGUUCACGCGCAUUGUACCAUUUCAACGCUGCUGAGUGGUUUGUUCGCUUGCGAAGUAUUCUUAAUUUGGAUGUGGAAUGGAAACGCGUUGAACAAGAGUAUGUAAAGGAUUGGAGAAUACUCUGUUGAAGGAUAGAGUGUGUAGGAUGUCUGAUAUUGUAAAGUGAAGGACAACUACAAACUGAAACGUACUGCAGUCUUGUCCAUUGUUGUUUCACAUCAGCAUUUCCUUAUGUGGAGUUAGAGCUCCAACAGAGACAAUGUAAAGGGUGAGGACUUUCGUUCCUCGUUUGCUGAAAUCGGAACAGUUCAUGGUCUGAUUCCUGAAAACCUCACUGUAAUGGCUUUGACAGCGACUGCCACCAAGUCCACCUUUGACCAAGUAGUCGAUCGACUUGCAAUGCAGAAAGUCACUGUUGUUGGUACAUCACCUGCAAGGGACAACACUCGGUAUGCAGUUCACCCUAUUGUGCCUAUGGAAGAGUUUUGUAUGAGUAUAGCCAAAGAUGUGAGACGUCAGAGGAUUGAAUAUCCCAAACUGUUCUUUUCUGCAGAAAGUAUGGGGAUUGCUCAUCUACUUUCUUUUGAGAGCUAAAUUAGGACGAGAGUUGACUCACCCUACUGGGACACUAGAUCUUCAAGAAUUGAGACUGGUGGAUAUGUACACUAGUGCAUCUAUGGUGAAGAUGAGGCAGAAGGUUCUUGCAUCAUUCAUGGAGCAGGGUAGCACAUUCCGCAUCUUGAUUGCCACCACAGCAUUUGGCAUGGGCGCGGAUUGUAAGGACAUCAGGCAAAUCAUGCACUGGGGCCCUCCAUCACUUAUUGAAGACUACGUGCAAGAAACAAGACGAGGUGGAUAUCAGUCCCAAGCCAUUCUUUUCAAUUGCAUGCACAAUGCACACAGGAGUUUGACUCCAGCAGUGAAACACUAUAGCAAAGAUAGUUGCUUGUGUCGCCGUAGGACAUUGUUCCACGACUUCGUAUUUUGUUCAGAUUCUGAUUUAGUCACAUCUCAAGAUGCAGGUGUUGUGAUGUUUGUGCUCAAACGUGUUUAUGUGGAUGCUGACAGCCUUUUUGAAAUUUCUAUAGCAGCCCAUACUGUAAUUUUUUAUGGCUAUGCUCUUACAUUUGCAUUUACUGAGAUUAUCGUCAAACCACGUUGAUAGCACCUGGCAGAGGCCUGUGUUUUGUUACUUAUUUAAUUUAUUGCAUAUGGUCA